rnacentral:rRNA from 1 species
GCAUGUAGGCUGAUUGUCCAGGCAAAUCCGGAUAAUCAAGGCUGAGGUGUGAUGACGAGGCACUACGGUGCUGAAGUAACAAAUGCCCUGCUUCCAGGAAAAGCCUCUAAGCAUCAGGUAACAUUAAAUCGUACCCCAAACCGACACAGGUGGUCAGGUAGAGAAUACCAAGGCGCUUGAGAGAACUCGGGUGAAGGAACUAGGCAAAAUGGUGCCGUAACUUCGGGAGAAGGCACGCUGGUGUGUAGG